rnacentral:rRNA from 1 species
CCUACGGGAGGCAGCAGUGAGGAAUAUUGGUCAAUGGACGCAAGUCUGAACCAGCCAUGCCGCGUGCAGGAAGACGGCUCUAUGAGUUGUAAACUGCUUUUGUACGAGGGUAAACGCAGAUACGCGUAUCUGUCUGAAAGUAUCGUACGAAUAAGGAUCGGCUAACUCCGUGCCAGCAGCCGCGGUAAUACGGAGGAUUCAAGCGUUAUCCGGAUUUAUUGGGUUUAAAGGGUGCGUAGGCGGUCGGAUAAGUUAGAGGUGAAAUCCCGAGGCUCAACUUCGGAAUUGCCUCUGAUACUGUUCGGCUAGAGAGAGUUGCGGUAGGCGGAAUGUAUGGUGUAGCGGUGAAAUGCUUAGAGAUCAUACAGAACACCGAUUGCGAAGGCAGCUUACCAAGCUACUUCUGACGUUGAGGCACGAAAGUGUGGGUAUCAAACAGGAUUAGAUACCCGGGUAGUC